UACAGAGGGGGCUAGCGUUGUUCGGAAUUACUGGGCGUAAAGGGCGCGUAGGUGGCCUGUUAAGUCGAACGUGAAAUCCCCGGGCUCAACCCGGGAACUGCGUCCGAGACUGGCAGGCUCGAAUCCGGGAGAGGGAUGUGGAAUUCCAGGUGUAGCGGUGAAAUGCGUAGAUAUCUGGAGGAACACCGGUGGCGAAGGCGGCAUCCUGGACCGGUAUUGACGCUGAGGCGCGAAAGCCAGGGGAGCAAACGG
rnacentral:rRNA from 1 species